CUCAGUUAAGUGCUCUAAUACAGCGUUUCCCAAACCAGUCCUCAAGACCCACCAACAGUCCAGGUUUUGUUAGUAUCUCCAUUGGAAUAAAACAGGGAAAUACAUAAAUCCUGGACUGUUGGUGGGCCAUGAGGACUGGUUUGGGAACCACUUCUCUAAUAUUAUUUGAGUUAAGAAUGGAAAAGGGUUAUACCAAUUGUAUAGAAGAAUCUUCUGACUUAUGGGAGAAAUGGGAUACAAUAUUGAAUAAGAUAAUUAUAGAUGGUAAGCUGAACAGUUACCUUCUGCCAGCUUUUUAUAUUUCUUCCCUUUAUUGAACUGAUUGGGAUGGGGACUCUCACUGAUUGAACAGGGUAAAGGUCUGCUGUAGCAAUGGGUUGCAGAGGCCACUGGUAUGUUUAUAGGAUGAAUGUUAUCAUAAUCACUAAUAUGUUAUUCAAAUAUGUAAUUGUAUAGUCAUGUCUAACUUGUUGAAAAAUACAAAUAAAAAGUAAAG